UGAUUUAACAAAGGUGUUUAAGUAAAUUAGUCUUUUGAUGUACUAACCUCUGCCUCUGAAUCACAUUUUUCUGAUGUCUAGGGAUUGAGCAAGUAUUUUGAAACAACAACAACCAACCAAACAAGAAGAAAACCUCACCUAAAAGUGUUCCAUUGGUUGGUUUCAUGGCUACAAUGAAAUGAGGAAUUUUGCUCUGCCGAGUCCUGCCAUCAUGAUGUCUCUGCUUUGGAGGCAGUUGAACAUGGACUGACACCUCUCAAAGCGUUCAAGAUAUAUUAUUGAGUGAAGCAUGAAGUUCACAAAAUCAUAUGUAUUGUUUCAUUGGAUAUGUCUUCUUGUGAAUAUGCUCAGGAGCUCUCCAUGGACCCAAGGCCUCAUAAAAUACAAAACAAAAAGAACUGGAUGGUGGGAGGGGAAGGAGAAAGGAAAGAAGGGAAAGGAAAAAUUAUGAGAAAAGAAAAAGAUGGAAACGAAAUCUAUGUAAAUAGGGAAGGGUGGAGGGGGUGAAGGGCACACAGGUAAU